AGGAGAAGGAAAAAAAUCUAAAGAUAACUGACUGCAUGGGGCGCCUAUCAGACACUCCAAAGAUGUUUUACAAAUUGAAGGAAAAAGCCACCUGACAGAGUCAUCCUUGCCGGAAAUCACACCCUGCAUCCACGAAGUCAUCAAGGAAAAAAAGGGAACGAAGAGUAAAACUGCCUCCACAUCGGAAGUACUGUCUUUCCAAAACCAGCAAGAACCUAAAAAACAACCCACUCGGAGGGGCAGUACUCUCCGUCACUUAUCAGUGGCAGGCACACUGAGAAACCCUGGACCUUUGGGGGCGGGCGGCAUAAAGAAAGCAGAAGCACUCUUCCCAAGUGAUGGGCAGCGGGAGCCCCAGCUGGGAUCGCAGAAACCAGAACGCCUCACCCCGGGGAAGUGCAUCCCAGGGGGCCAGCCUUUAUCCCGCACCUACUGGUCCAGUCCCGAGGCUCGCGCCCCGCCCCCUCCCCGAAGGACCGACCUGCUGGGGCUCCGGCCUCGGCCCUGAAAAUUCCAGUCAUCCCCGCUAAAUUCUUGAGCAGCGGUUCCCUGCUGGCUGCUGAAACUUAACAUUACGCCACAAAACUAGCAAAUGGGCAGCUUUCACCCCUCCCCCCUUCAAUGACUGGCACUUGCAAAGGAGUCGUGGCAAAUCAAGCAUUUAAGAAGUGACUGACACUUGGACCCGGUUACCUGGAAUUUAAAAAACAAAAACACACACACACACACAAAAAAAACCACUCCGGUAUUAUUUUCCUCGAUCAGGAAGCAGGCAUUCCCCUUUUAAAAGACCUUCCUGAAAACACCUCUCCCAAGGGAUCCCAGCAGGUAAAUAACACCAGAGCUUCCCUAAAGCGAUUCUAAAGAACCAGGGGACCUGGCUGCGCUCCCCCGCCGGCUUCUCCUCCGCGGAAGGAGGGAUCGGCAAGUCGAGCAGUCCCGGGAGCCCCGCGUCCGCUCGGACGUGCCCCCUCCCGGGCAGCGCCCCCUCCCCCCGGGACCCCUCACCUUGGCCUCGAAGCAGAUGCCGUGCUGGAAGGCGUCUUCGUUGUGCAAGGGGAUCCGCAGGUCGUGCCCAUCGUCCACAAGGAAGGCCCCAGUCCUGGCCCAGAUCUGUGCAAAUCGUGAAUUCGGAGAGUUCCCUUUUCCUGGAGAAUCAAGACUGUGCUCACUGGGGGCCCAUCGCAGGAGCCUUUUCUUCCUUUGAGCGUGCUAAAGUACAAUUGUCCUUUCCUAUAUGUUGCCUGCUUCCAAUCUGCUGAAAUUCCUGGCCAAGAUGCAGCAUCUUCUGAGACAUCCCCUUAAAUAAAGGCAAACUGAUGACUAGAACAAAUUCAUCACCUACUUUAUGCUGUAUAGACUUUACUACAGACAUAAAUAUUAGUAAGAGCCAAAAAAUCAUUUGCACUGAGGAAAUGCACCUCUAACAUUUUUAUAAAUACAGAACAUGAAAAUCUAA